rnacentral:rRNA from 1 species
GCACAACGCGAAGAACCUUACCACCUUUUGACAUGCCUGGACCGCCACAGAGAUGUGGCUUUCCCUUCGGGGACUGGGACACAGGUGCUGCAUGGCUGUCGUCAGCUCGUGUCGUGAGAUGUUGGGUUAAGUCCCGCAACGAGCGCAACCCUCGCCAUUAGUUGCCAUCAUUCAGUUGGGAACUCUAAUGGGACUGCCGGUGCUAAGCCGGAGGAAGGUGGGGAUGACGUCAAGUCCUCAUGGCCCUUACAGGGUGGGCUACACACGUGCUACAAUGGCGACUACAGAGGGUUAAUCCUUAAAAGUCGUCUCAGUUCGGAUUGUCCUCUGCAACUCGAGGGCAUGAAGUUGGAAUCGCUAGUAAUCGCGGAUCAGCACAGUGCGGUGAAUACGUUCCCGGGUCUUGUACACAC